rnacentral:sRNA from 1 species
UAUAAUGUCAUCAGCACAGUACCUGCCUCUUAAAAAUAUUUUUAAAUGAAUGAAUAGCAGUAAUACUUUCAAGUUCCUAAAGCAAUAUGUCUUUUUAGUGAUGCUGCUUCAAAAGUCAUGGUGGAAUUGCUCGGAAGUUACACAGAGGACAAUGCUUCCCAGGCUCGAGUUGAUGCCCACAGGUGUAUUGUACGAGCAUUGAAAGAUCCAAAUGCAUUUCUGUUUGACCACCUUCUUACUUUAAAACCAGUCAAGUUUUUGGAAGGCGAGCUUAUUCAUGAUCUUUUAACCAUUUUUGUGAGUGCUAAAUUGGCAUCAUAUGUCAAGUUUUAUCAGAAUAAUAAAGACUUCAUUGAUUCACUUGGCCUGUUACAUGAACAGAAUAUGGCAAAAAUGAGACUACUUACUUUUAUGGGAAUGGCAGUAGAAAAUAAGGAAAUUUCUUUUGACACAAUGCAGCAAGAGCUUCAGAUUGGAGCUGAUGAUGUUGAAGCAUUUGUUAUUGACGCGGUAAGAACUAAAAUGGUCUACUGCAAAAUUGAUCAGACCCAGAGAAAAGUAGUUGUCAGUCAUAGCACACAUCGGACAUUUGG